rnacentral:rRNA from 1 species
GUUUCGAUGCAACAAGAAGAAGUUAUUUGGAGCAAGUAGUUUUGUUGCUUGUUUAAUUGGUCAUAUUUUUGUCAUGAAGUGCGGUAGGGGCAGAGAGAAUUUUUGGUGGAGCGGUGAAUGCGUAGAGAUUGGAAAGCACACCAAUGACGAGGCUCUAUGUUGGACCGACAUUGACAUUGGGAGACAAGAACUAGAGGAUCAAAUGGCAUUAGAUACCGUGAGCCAGGACUGAAUUCUCCAUGAGAUUCAUACUUGAAGCUCAGAACAGCCGCGUACGAAGGAGGA